rnacentral:rRNA from 1 species
GAUCCUGGCUCAGGAUGAACGCUAGCGGCAGGCUUAACACAUGCAAGUCGAGGGGCAGCGUGGAGUAGCAAUACGAUGGCGGCGACCGGCGAAAGGGUGCGUAACGCGUGAGCAACCUGCCCGUAUCCGGGACAUAAGCGGUGGAAACGCCGUCUAAUUUCCCAUAACAACGAGGGCCGCAUGGUCCAUGUUUGAAAGAUGCGUCGGAUACGGAUGGGCUCGCGAGACAUUAGCUAGUCGGCGUGGUAACGGCACACCGAGGCGACGAUGUCUAGGGGUUCUGAGAGGAAGGUCCCCCACACUGGAACUGAGACACGGUCCAAACUCCUACGGGAGGCAGCAGUGAGGAAUAUUGGUCAAUGGGCGGGAGCCUGAACCAGCCAAGUAGCGUGCGGGACGACGGCCCUACGGGUUGUAAACCGCUUUUGCAGGGGAAUAAAGUGGCCUACGCGCUAGGCCUUUGCAUGUACCCUGAGAAUAAGGACCGGCUAAUUCCGUGCC